rnacentral:lncRNA from 1 species
UAUUGCGUAAAGAAUGACUUGGGUUAUGCAUAUGAUGUCAGGUAUAAAGCAGUAACACAUAAAUAAAAAUCGUAAACAAAGAGCACGUAAACGCACAACAGUGAUAACAACGACACAAACCAUGAUAACAACGACACAAACCAAAAUACGAACAAUGUUUAUACACCUAUAAAGCCAAUCAAGCCGAUACGACUCCAAAAAUAAGCUCGAAUUCAAAAAAAAAAGUCCCCAGCAGAGUCGCCAGAGCUGUCACACCCCUUUUUUAACCGAAAAGAUUCAUUUUAGGUUCAAAAGGAUUUUUAUUAUUAAAGUGACAAAAUGAAGAUAAUUGUUUCGAAAAGGACCUUUUAUAUUCAAAACUCAGAGUCGCCACUUGGCAUAAAUCCGAUGUGCCAAGUCACCUUUUGGAAAAUCCUUUUCAAAAUGGUUUGACUCUUUUAAAACUGAUUUGCGAACAGAGAUUCUUGCUAAGGAAAUCUGUUGACCGAGGGGAUGGUGUUAGGCACCUCUC